CACGUAGGGGGCGAGCGUUGUCCGGAUUUAUUGGGCGUAAAGGGCUCGUAGGCGGCUCAGUAAGUCGGGUGUGAAACCUCCAGGCUCAACCUGGAGACGCCACUCGAUACUGCUGUGGCUAGAGUCCGGUAGGGGAGCAUGGAAUUCCUGGUGUAGCGGUGAAAUGCGCAGAUAUCAGGAGGAACACCAGUGGCGAAGGCGGUGCUCUGGGCCGGAACUGACGCUGAUGAGCGAAAGCGUGGGGAGCAAACAGG
rnacentral:rRNA from 1 species